ACUGUGGAAUUCAAGCAUGAUGAC
rnacentral:piRNA from 1 species